rnacentral:rRNA from 1 species
UGCAGUCGAGCGGUAGAGAGAAGCUUGCUUCUCUUGAGAGCGGCGGACGGGUGAGUAAUGCCUAGGAAUCUGCCUGGUAGUGGGGGAUAACGUUCGGAAACGAACGCUAAUACCGCAUACGUCCUACGGGAGAAAGCAGGGGACCUUCGGGCCUUGCGCUAUCAGAUGAGCCUAGGUCGGAUUAGCUAGUUGGUGGGGUAAUGGCUCACCAAGGCGACGAUCCGUAACUGGUCUGAGAGGAUGAUCAGUCACACUGGAACUGAGACACGGUCCAGACUCCUACGGGAGGCAGCAGUGGGGAAUAUUGGACAAUGGGCGAAAGCCUGAUCCAGCCAUGCCGCGUGUGUGAAGAAGGUCUUCGGAUUGUAAAGCACUUUAAGUUGGGAGGAAGGGCCAUUACCUAAUACGUGAUGGUUUUGACGUUACCGACAGAAUAAGCACCGGCUAACUCUGUGCCAGCAGCCGCGGUAAUACAGAGGGUGCAAGCGUUAAUCGGAAUUACUGGGCGUAAAGCGCGCGUAGGUGGUUCGUUAAGUUGGAUGUGAAAUCCCCGGGCUCAACCUGGGAACUGCAUUCAAAACUGUCGAGCUAGAGUAUGGUAGAGGGUGGUGGAAUUUCCUGUGUAGCGGUGAAAUGCGUAGAUAUAGGAAGGAACACCAGUGGCGAAGGCGACCACCUGGACUGAUACUGAC